GAACCGUGCGAACGUUGUUCGGAAUCACUGGGCUUAAAGGGCGCGUAGGCGGUGUGUUAAGUCGGUGGUGAAAUACUUCGGCUCAACCGGGAGAAUUGCCGCUGAAACUGGCACGCUAGAGGGAGGUAGAGGUGCGUGGAACUUCCGGUGGAGUGGUGAAAUACGUUGAUAUCGGAAGGAACGCCUGUGGCGAAAGCGAUGCACUGGACCUCUUCUGACGCUGAGGCGCGAAAGCCAGGGUAGCGAACGGGAUUAGAUACCCCGGUAGUCCUGGCCGUAAACGAUGGGUACUAGAGAGUAGAUGCUCCGAUGUGUUUACUCUCGAAGCAAAAGUGAUAAGUACCCCGCCUGGGGAGUAUGGUCGCAAGGCUG
rnacentral:rRNA from 1 species